rnacentral:rRNA from 1 species
UGACUAUAAGUUCAACGGCCGCGGUAUUUUGACCGUGCAAAGGUAGCGCAAUCACUUGUCUUUUAAAUAGAGACCUGUAUGAAUGGCCAAACGAGGGCUUAACUGUCUCCCUUUUCAAGUCAGUGAAAUUGAUCUACCCGUGCAGAAGCGGGUAUAAUAAUACAAGACGAGAAGACCCUAUGGAGCUUAAGGUACAAAACUCAACCACGUCAAGCAACUCAAUGAAAAGCAAAAACUUUGUGAAACAUGAGAUUUUACCUUCGGUUGGGGCGACCACGGAGGAAAAGAAAGCCUCCAAGUGGAAUGGAACAAACUCCUAGAACCAAGAGAGACAUCUCUAAGCCACAGAACAUCUGACCAAACAUGAUCCGGCCCAAAAAAGCCGAUCAACGAACCAAGUUACCCUAGGGAUAACAGCGCAAUCCCCUCCCAGAGUCCAUAUCGACGAGGGGGUUUACGACCUCGAUGUUGGAUCAGGACAUCCUAAUGGUGCAGCCGCUAUUAAGGGUUCGUUUGUUCAACGAUUAAAGUCCU